rnacentral:rRNA from 1 species
GACGAAGGUGGCAAACGCUGCUCGGAAUCACUGGGCUUAAAGGGCGUGUAGGCGGUCAGUCAAGUCGGGUGUGAAAUCCCUCGGCUCAACCGAGGAACUGCACCCGAUACUGUCUGGCUGGAGUGCGGGAGGGGUGAGUGGAACUCCAGGUGUAGCGGUGAAAUGCGUAGAUAUCUGGAGGAACGCCGGUGGCGAAAGCGACUCACUGGCCCGUAACUGACGCUGAGGCGCGAAAGCUAGGGGAGCAAACGGG